GCUGGAGAGAAGAGCCUGCUGAAGCCUUUCUACGAGUGUUGAGUCAGGGAAGCUUACACAAUAGAGCAAGUGCAGGGUUUGAGGUGCCAUAAAAUGUGUCUGGACCUUUGUGAGGGAGACAUGGGAGGCUUUAAGAAAACCCACCCAAUCUAUGUCAGUGACUUAGUUUUUAACUAUCCUUAUAGCUCUGGGCACAAAGCCCUACCAAGACACUUGCAAGUUGGAGUUAGUUCAAGUAAAGUAAGUUGAUGCUGUGAUGUUGGGGGUCAGAAGAAAGCUAGAUGGCAAUCCGAAUACUUACCCUAGAAACAAUUCAUUUUACUCUGUCUGUUAGGGCCACUCGCAGGUAGACAUAGGCAGUGAUGGAAGACGACAAAUGAUAAGGAGAACUAUCCAGGAGUCUUAACUACAUCUUUCCUUGUGUAACAGAAUACCCAGACAAAGCAGCUUAAGAAUGGGAGGGUUUAUUUUGGCCCACAGUUUUGGUGUACAGUCAGUGGACCAUGGCAGGGGAGUGCCUGAGUGGUGGGUGCCUGAGGCACUGGUCCCAUUGUAUUCACAGGUGAGAAGAAGGGAAGGACGAAUACCAUACUUAACCAGAUUUUCUGGGGUAGCCUAAGACCCCAGCCCAAGGAAUGGUGGCACCCACCUUAAGGCUAUGUCUUCUCACCUCAACUAAUAUUAUCAAGAUAACUUGUGGCUGGUGUGGCUGGAGGCCUGUCUUAUAGGGAUUCCAGAUCCUGUCAACUUGAAGGCUAACAGUAACCAUCACACCAAUCAAUCUCCAUUUGGAACAAAAGAACAAAGCAGGGGAUAACACGAAGGACGGGGUUGUCAGAAAAAAACAGACAUAGAUUUAUCCAUCUUUUCAGAGCAAUAACUUUAUCUAGAGACAACAGGAAGUCAGGAGAAGUCUUGAGGCAAGACCUCCCCAAGGCCCCAUUGGCCAUCCUAUUGGCUGUGUAAGAGAAGCUCUGGCAUUCAUAAAGGAGAGAACGAAAGAGUGACCAUGGUGAGAUGAUUUAGUCAUAUUGAUGACAAAACAUAUAUCCUAUAAGACAUAUUUCUCUUAAAUCACUUACCAGUACUGUGCAGACCUGUGGAACAAUGCCAAAUAUUUACUCAUAAUUAAAAGAACAGGACUAAGGCUGUAGCUCUGUGGUAAAGUGCUUGCCUAGCUUGUGCAAAGUACUGAGUUAAAUCUCAAUGAGAACUGAGAGACUGGGCUGUUACCUGCUGUGCAGUUUACUGGAACCCCACAGGUAAACCUGGCUGUCUCCGUGGCUCAGGUAUUUAUCUGGUGGCCAUUUGAGUUCGAGUUGCUUUCUGUAUAAACAUAUUUUGCUUUUGAUUUGACUUGCUUUGCUUUGACGUGACAGUUUGAGUCCACAAAGCCCAUUUCUUCCUGGCCACUCUCUCCAGCUGGAACCCAUCUUGCUAGAGCCUGUCUGAUUGUCAGUGUGGGGCCUCAGAGCCCUGUCUCUGAACCAUACAGAAUCUGUUUUCUCUCCAGGAGAGCUAAGUGUUAACACUGUCCUGGGAACAUUAACCUUGCAGGAAGAUUGAUAGAGUUCAGAGUGCAGAGGAUAAAGCUUGCCUGGGAGGACCAGGGGAGGGUUGAGCUGUGGCAGAGGGCCUGAGGCAGAGGGAACCAAAAAGACUGCUCAGAGAAUUUCUGCUUUCCCUAAUGCCUCUUCUAUCUUUAUUUUAAAUACAGUUUGAUGUCUGUAUAGAAAUGUGAAGAUAGAUGAAGAAGCUAAACCAUACGAGAUGCUAAAACAUCUGGAUCUGGAAGUGCAGCAAGAUGGAUAAAAUUGGAUUUCCCAGGGACAGCACCCAUAGAGUUGGCAGGCUUCUGAGGACAGGCUACACUGGGGGAGGAGUGCAGAUGCAGGUGGACAAUGGGAGAGCCUCAGGGGUCUGCUUGAAUAGCAAUGGUUGUUAAAAUUCCUUUCUUUCCAAAGAGGCUGAGCCUGUCGACAAUGUCAUUCAUUUUCCUAAGAGAGGGUGCAGCAAACUAUUUUUGCAAAGUGAAAAGCUGAGAGCAUCCACCAAGGGCCACUGGCUUCCAUGAUUUCUCCGUUGUACAUUUAAAUGAGUUAGAAAGUAAACAUUUAUAGGAAUACACCAAAGCAUUAUGCUGUCAGGAACAUCUACAGUAAAGUCUACCUCCAGUGUCUUUUCAACCUAGUAACUUUGUUUCUGAAGUGGCUGAGUCUUUUGUGCAGACUUGAUUUUAUCUUCUGUAUAAAAACCUCUCAUGUUUCCUUUUAUAUGUGGCCUGAAGCGAGUCAGAGAGAUAGUUGAAGUGAUAAGCUAUCCUUUAUAAAUACAUUAUUAUCAAGCGAUCAAAUGCAAUUCAGCUAAUUACUCAUUGUCUCAGGAAUAUCAUGGGCUGUUGAUAAUAACAGGUAUUAUCUCUUUUUAAUACUGCUACCACCAUGAAUGUUGAUUAUGUGAAAAUGACAGUGGUCAAACGGACAGCAUUUAAGGGAUUACUGAAGAAGCACGAGACAAUUAUCAGCAAUCCAAGGCAUUCUUCUAUCAAAAGUGUUUUCAGCUAAUUUGGAUUAUACUAUUUGAGUAGGAAAGAUAAAAAUCAGAAGACAGAACCUGGUCACCAUCACUUUGCAGAUUGCUUGAAUGCUUGGAAGAUCACCUGAGUGCCUGCACCAAUCCUGUGUCCAUCUUAUGUUGAAGGGAGCAUCGAGGCUCUUUCCAUGGUUAAGAUGAUUGAGCAAAAAGGAUCCAUUCACAGCUCCGGCAACAUCUCUGGAAUAACUGUGUGAAGGAACUCUGCCAAGAGCUGGAAUUGCAGUUAACAUAGAAGCUUGAGGCAUAGAUAGCUGUAUCAUCUGGUUAAUAACUGCCAUUUGAAGGAGUCUGCAACACAGUGUGACCAAUUGCCUCAGUGUGUCCAGGUCUAUCCUAGUUUCCUGAGGCACAUACUUCCCAUCUUACAAGUGGAAAUAGAGCAAAAACCAUAUACACAGGCUCUUGGGAUUUGAAUGUGAAAUGAUGCUCAAAUGUUGGACUACUUAUCCUCACUUUGGGGAGCAGCUUGGAGCACAGAUAUCUGUACCAUCUGCUUAGAAACUUCCAUUUGAAGAAGUUUGCAAUAUGGUGUGAUCAAGUUGCUUCGGAGGUAAAGGACUUUUAAGACUGUGGCCUUGUUAGCAGGAAAAGGUAGCUGGGGGUGGGCCUGGAAGAUGAUCUCUACCUUAAUUCCAGCUAAGCACUCUGGUUCCUGGUUCUGCAAGAUGUGAACAAAUGUCUUAGUCAGGGUUUCUAUUCCUGCACAUAAACAUUAUGACCAAGAAGCAAAUUGGGGAGGAAAGGGUUUAUUCUGCUUAGAAGUCUACAUUGCUGUUCGUCACCAAAGGAAGUUAGGACCAGAAUUCAAGCAGCUCAGGAAGCAGGAGCUGAUGCAGAGGUCAUGGAGAGAUGUUACUUACUGGCUCAGCUUGCUUUCUUGUAGAACCCAAGACUACCAGCCUAGGGAUGGCCCCACCCACAAUGGGCUCUUCCACCCUUGAUCACUAAUUGAGAAAAUGCCUUACAGCUGGAUCUCAUGAAGGCAUUUCCUCAAGGAAAGCUCCUUUCUCUGUGAUAACUAAGCUUGUGUCAAGUUGACAUACAAAAUCAUCCAGUACAACAAGUCACGUUAUAACCUCUCAAUGUCACUGAAUGAGACCCACCAUGCCUUUCUUGUAAUGAUAGACCAAUACCUCUAAAACAGCAGUUCUCAAAGGUCAUGGCCUCUUUGGGGUACAAAGAGUAUCACAUAUCAGAUAUCCUGCGUAUCAAAUAUUUAAUUAUGAUGAUUCAUAACAUAGCAAAAUUAUAGUUAUGAAGUAGCAAUGAAAAUAAUUUUAUGGUUGGGAUCUUAACAAUAUGAAGAACUGUAUUAAAGGGCUGCAGCAUUAGGAAGGUUGAGAGCCACUGCUUUAAAACAUUAUCAUUGUGUCACAGUGACACAAUGACCGAAGUUAACUGGACUGGAUGGGUCUGAAUAACACAACACUUAAGUCAGUCUGGGAAGGCCCACCCACCCAGUCUGUCACUCAUUAUCAAUUUCAACUUGCAUGUGUUGAGAAAGCAUCUUCUUAGACUCCUAGCUGGAUUAGCUCACUGGGCUAACCUGGUACAAGGAAUUGGACAUUUUGGUGGGCCAACAUCGAGAAGGAUAGAUUCGAGAAAGACUAGAGUAGAUUAUGUAUGAUCUCUAGCACCUGGCACUGACCCCCUUCCCUCCACUUCAUAUAUUUUCUCCCUCAAGACAGGAUAUGGUGAAGUGGAUUCUGUCCAAGAGGAGAGCGAGGGCCUUCAGGAAAAACAGGUCUCUAUUCAGGGAAAUAAAGCCUUGAAACAUCUCUGGAUUGCCCAUUAAGCAGCACUGUAAGAGGUGGACUGAUUCUUGCCACAUGGAAACUCUUCAUGAUGAAGGGUUAAUGCAGGACUUUUAAAAAGUGCCCCCUGUUUCCAAACUGAAUAGUUUGUCUAGAAGGAGGGAUUUUGUUUUCUUUUCAGACUGGACCUAAAUUUGGCAUCCUAUGGAAGUUUUACUUUAUUCCAUCAGCACUCAGCCAAGUCUCCUGGGUCAGGAACAGCAGCUGAGAAAAGUUGAAUGAAUGGCCCAUUUUCUCUCUUCAUUCCUAUCCUUAAUUCCAUAUGUUUCUCAAUUUCUCACUUAUAAAUUUAAUUAGAUAAAUAUUUUUAAAUGUGGAAGGUGGAGACUUUGAGAACUCGAUGGAUUUGAAAUAAACUUUUGUGGCUCGUGGCAAAAAAAAAAAAAAAAAAAA
rnacentral:lncRNA from 1 species